UAGACGCUAUAACUCUUCGGUCAAGAACAAUAUAUAGAAAAUAUGACAGCCACCUUAAUUCUUCAGAAAGUAUGUUACUGAUUGAAAAGUUUGGUUUAGGUCUCCAAAAGAGCACAUUCUCUGUGCUAGACUGAUUAAUAGUGUUUUAUAGGAAAACAGGCCGUUAUGGGCAUAGUUCUAGGAUUGGGCAUUUAAUGUACUGUAACAGAAAGCAGCUGUCUGUGGGUAGACAUGAAGGUGCUAUAACCACUUAGAGUACCUUCCUGAUUCACUAAUAAACCGUCCUGAGGAAUGUUGUAGCUUAUAUUAUGCUCACCGUAAGACUUUAAAAAGUGUGCGAGGAAAGAAAGUCUGAGCAAAUCCUGU